GUCUAUUUUGGCAGACAAAUGUGGUAAGUUUAGGAUUUAUUUAUGUAAUUUUUACAAAUAGGA
rnacentral:tRNA from 1 species